rnacentral:misc_RNA from 1 species
GAAAUGCGAUAAGUAAUGUGAAUUGCAGAAUUCAGUGAAUCAUCGAAUCUUUGAACGCACCUGGCGCUCCUUGGUAUUCCUUGGAGCAUGCCUGUUUGAGUAUCAUGAAAUCUUCAAAGUAAAUCUUUUGUUAACUCAAUUGGUUUCUACUUUGGUAUUGGAGGUCUUUGCAGCUUCACACCUGCUCCUCUUUGUUCAUUAGCUGGAUCUCAGUGUUAUGCUUGGUUCCACUCGGCGUGAUAAGUUAUCUAUCGCUGAGGACACUGUAAAAGGUGGCCAAGGUAAAUGCAGAUGAACCGCUUCUCAUAGUCCAUUGACUUGGACAAUACUUUUAUGAUCUGAUCUCAAAUCAGGUAGGACUACCCGCUUAACUUAAGC